GACGAACGCUGGCGGCGUGCUUAACCCAUGCAAGUCGAACGGUAAGGCCCUUCGGGGUACACGAGUGGCGAACGGGUGAGUAACACGUGGGUGAUCUGCCCUGCACUUCGGGAUAAGCCUGGGAAACUGGGUCUAAUACCGGAUAGGACCACUGCCUGCAUGGGUGGUGGUGGAAAGCUUUUGCGGUGUGGGAUGGGCCCGCGGCCUAUCAGCUUGUUGGUGGGGUGAUGGCCUACCAAGGCUACGACGGGUAGCCGGCCUGAGAGGGUGACCGGCCACACUGGGACUGGGAGACGGCCCAGACUCCUACGGGAGGCAGCAGUGGGGAAUAUUGCACAAUGGGCGCAAGCCUGAUGCAGCGACGCCGCGUGAGGGAUGACGGCCUUCGGGUUGUAAACCUCUUUCAGCACCGACGAAGCGCAAGUGACGGUAGGUGCAGAAGAAGGACCGGCCAACUACGUGCCAGCCGCCGCGGUAA
rnacentral:rRNA from 1 species